GAUGAACGCUGGCGGCGUGCUUAACACAUGCAAGUCGAACGGAAAGGCCCUGCUUGCAGGGUGCUCGAGUGGCGAACGGGCGAGUAACUCGUGGGUGAUCUGCCCCUUACUUUGGGAUAAGCCUGGUAAACUGGGUCUAAUACUUGAUAGGACCUUGCUGUAGGUGGUGUGGUGGAAAGAUUAGUUUCGGUAGGGGAUGAGCUCGCGGCCUAUCAGCGUGUUGGUGGGGUAAUGGCCUAACAAGGCGUCGACGGGUGUCCGGCCUCAGUGGGAGGACGGCAAGAUUGAGACUGGGAUGCGAGCCAGACGCCGGCAGGAGGCAGCAAUGGGGGAAAGUCCACAAUGGGCGCACGGCGGAGGUGACGAAGCCGCGUGGGGUGUAAAGGCCUUCGGGUUGGAAAGUACUUUCGGCCAUGACGAAGCCCUUGUGGUGACGGUAGUGGUAGAAGAAGCACCGGCUAACUACGUG
rnacentral:rRNA from 1 species